GACGAGGUGGCCGAGUGGUUAAGGCGAUGGACUGCUAAUCCAUUGUGCUCUGGCCACGCGUGGGUUCGAAUCCAAUCCUCGUCG
rnacentral:tRNA from 1 species